UUUUAAGCUCUAUUAUUCAGUUAAGAAAUGGAUUUGUCCUUGUAAGUGCUGCAAGAUCUGGCACUUAACACCUGAGAUGUGAAGGCACUUUUUUUUUUUUUUAAAGUAGCAGAAGCUCUGGACAAUCUGGGAGUUAUAAAUGUAACCUCUGGACAGCCAACACAGGGCCUGCGGCUCAGACCUUUCCACUGAGGCAUCUCCCAAUUUCCUUGGGGCGGUGAGGGGGAGAUGGAAGGACAGGAAAAAUGCCUGUCAAGACAGAAGACCUGAGACCAUCGGCAAAGGCAACCUUUCUGGGUGGUCCACCGUGAGAGAAGAGUUCCCAGGUCUCCUCUGUGAGGUGGGUCACGGUGAGGUCAGUGCUCACGCUCAAGGCCAACGUCCAGAAGGGAGGCUGCGAGAAUCGCUUGAGAGAGAGAGCAAGAGCAGGGGGAGCGGCAGGCAGAGGGAGAAGCAGGCCGACACGGG